UAGGGAAUCUUCCGCAAUGGGCGAAAGCCUGACGGAGCAACGCCGCGUGAGUGAUGAAGGUCUUCGGAUCGUAAAACUCUGUUAUUAGGGAAGAACAAAUGUGUAAGUAACUAUGCACGUCUUGACGGUACCUAAUCAGAAAGCCACGGCUAACUACGUCCCAGCAGCCGCGGUAAUACGUAGGUUGCAAGCGUUAUCCGGACUUAUUGGGCGUAAAGCGCGCGUAGGCGGUUUUUUAAGUCUGAUGUGAAACCCCACGGCUCAACCGUGGAGGGUCAUUGGAAACUGGACAACUUGAGUGCAGAAGAGGAAAGUGGAAUUCCAUGUGUAGCGGUGAAAUGCGCAGAGAUAUGGAGGAACCCCAGUGGCGAAGGCGACUUUCUGGUCUGUAACUGACGCUGAUGUGCGAAAGCGUGGGGAUCAAACAGG
rnacentral:rRNA from 1 species